AGCCCGAAUGUCCUUGGUUCAUGACCUCAUCACUGCAGUCUUACUUCACAUUACCUUCUGCCCCACCCACAUCCAUUCUUCCAUCACAUCAAAUCUCCUUUAACCUUUCUUCUUAUAGGAACACUUGUCAUUGGCUUUGAGGUCCAGCCAGACAGCUAAGAACUAUCUCUUCAUUUCCAGGAGUUAAAGAUACCAAGAGGACCAGAAGCUGA
rnacentral:lncRNA from 1 species